ACUAAUUUGGCAGAAUAAUGUGAUGAAUUUAGGUUUCAUUAAAAUGAUAUAUUUAUCAUAUUUAGUA
rnacentral:tRNA from 1 species